CUUGUAAUCGGAUGGCCAUGAAAAUGUAUACAACUGAUUAUAUAUAAAUGAUUACGAAGCCUUACGAUUUAAACGAUCUUAACUUAUUCUCAAAUUUUAAAUGGGUAAAAAAACCUGACCUUUCUUGGUGUGAAGGUUGUGGUUGUGAUAUAAUGUGCCCAAUGGGCCAAUAUUGGUAAGCAGAACUGGUGGUGCCGGAUGAACCAAACAUAAUAUUACGGUGCCCAAAUUAACAACUCAUGCAAAUACCAUGAAAAGCGUUGGUUGCUUCAAACAGCAGGGCGGUCGACAUGGAAAUCGCAAUCCGCUAAGGAGUAACAACUCACCUGCCGAAGCAACUAACUCUUAAAAUGGACGGCGCUUAAGUUGUAUACCUAUACAUUACCGCUAAAGUAAAUGGUUGAAAUUCAAUUUAUUUGGAUUUGUAAACUUUAAAACUUUAGUGAG
rnacentral:ncRNA from 1 species